rnacentral:lncRNA from 1 species
AUUUUCUGAGGCCCAAACACAUUUGGCACACACGGAAUCUAGGGUUAAUGUCCAAAAGGAAAACUGAUGAGCACAUUUCAAAAUGGGAGUUAAAGCUUUGUAUUUCAGUGUCUUUUAACGAGGACAGCAAUAUAGCCAAGUGCAGCUGCUUUCUGCCAAAAUGCAAUCUGACAUUUGGAAGAGUUUUGUAUGGAGAAGCCAGGAGUCUAAGAAAUCAGGUAUUACACACGUGUGAGCAAGAGGAAGAGAAGCCCAUUCACUGUCCUGCUCUCCAUUCACUUUGCGUGUGGUAUGUGGGUGUACUUAAACAGCAUGCCUAUUUAUGUUCAAUCACAUAUGGAUGCUAUAUAUGAAUUAGGUAUCUAUAAUGCAGAUAUUUUAAAUAUUUGUUUACCACCAACUGCUUAACUGGGACUUCCAUGAAU